UGGUCCCCCACACUGGUACUGAGACACGGACCAGACUUCUACGGAAGGCAGCAGUGAGGAAUAUUGGUCAAUGGGCGAAAGCCUGAACCAGCCAUGCCGCGUGAAGGAGGACAGCCCUACGGGUUGUAAACUUCUUUUGUACGGGAAGAAACACUUCUACGUGUAGAAGCUUGACGGUACCGUACGAAUAAGCAUCGGCUAAACUCCGUGCCAGCAGCCGCGGUAAUACGGAGGAUGCAAGCGUUAUCCGGAUUCAUUGGGUUUAAAGGGUACGUAGGCGGAAGAUUAAGUCAGUGGUGAAAUCCUGCAGCUUAACUGUAGAACUGUCAUUGAUACUGAUCUUCUUGAAUAUAGUUGAGGUAGGCGGAAUGUGUAAUGUAGCGGUGAAGUGCUUAGAUAUUACACAGAACACCGAUUGCGAAGGCAGCUUACUAAACUAUGAUUGACGCUGAGGUACGAAAGCGUGGGGAGCGAACAGGAUUAGAUACCCUGGCAGUCCACGCUGUAAACGAUGAUCACUCGUUGUUGGCGAUAUAGUGUCAGCGACUGAGCGAAAGCAUUAAGUGAUCCACCUGGGGAGUACGAUCGCAAGAUUGAAACUCAAAGGAAUUGACGGGGGCCCGCACAAGCGGAGGAACAUGUGGUUUAAUUCGAUGAUACGCGAGGAACCUUACCUGGGCUUAAAUGUAGAACGACGGAUCGGGAAACUGAUCCUUCUUCGGACGGUCUGCAAGGUGCUGCAUGGCUGUCGUCAGCUCGUGCCGUGAGGUGUCGGGUUAAGUCCCAUAACGAGCGCAACCCUCAUCAUUAGUUGCCAGCGGGUAAUGCCGGGGACUCUAAUGAAACUGCCGGUGUAAACCGAGAGGAAGGUGGGGAUGACGUCAAGUCAGCACGGCCCUUAUGUCCAGGGCUACACACGUGUUACAAUGGUCGAUACAAAGGGCAGCUACCUGGUAACAGGAUGCUAAUCUCUAAAAUCGGUCUUAGUUCGGAUCGAAGUCUGCAACUCGACUUCGUAAAGCUGGAUUCGCUAGUAAUCGCGCAUCAGCCACGGCGCGGUGAAUACGUUCCCGGGCCUUGUACACACCGCCCGUCAAGCCAUGGAAGCUGGGGGUACCUGAAGUCCGUAACCGUAAGGAGC
rnacentral:rRNA from 1 species